AUUGAACGCUGGCGGCAGGCCUAACACAUGCAAGUCGAACGAGUGGCGGACGGGUGAGUAAUGUCUGGGAACCUGCCCGAUGGAGGGGGAAAAGUACGGGAAACGGUAGCUAAUACCGCAUACCAUCGGAUGUGCCCAGGUGGGAUUAGCUAGUCGGUGGGGUAACGUCUCACCUAGGCGACGAUCCCUAGCUGGUCUGAGAGGAUGACCAGCCACACUGGAACUGAGACACGGUCCAGACGCCUACGGGAGGCAGCAGUGGGGAAUAUUGGACAAUGGGCGCAAGCCUGAUGCAGCCAUGCCGCGUGUAUGAAGAAGGCCUUCGGGUUGUAAAGUACUUUCAGCGAGGAGGCGUUACCCGCAGAAGAAGCACCGGCUAACUCCGUGCCAGCAGCCGCGGUAAUAC
rnacentral:rRNA from 1 species